rnacentral:ncRNA from 1 species
AUAAAGGUUUCGAUUAGAAAUAGUAGAAGUGAAGUGACUUUUCAGAGAGCCGCUGGGUGGUGCGAAGCGGUGUGGUCGAUCAUUUCGAACUCGUCUAUGAACCGCCACCUGACAAUGUAGGGUCUGCCGGAGUUCCACCGUUACAGGGAUAGAUGGUGAUUGCCAUCGAAGAAGAUCAUUUUUGCAUUGUUAAAAAUGAAUUAGAGUGGUACCGCGGGUUAAACCUCGUCUCUAGC